GCCCGGGUGGUCUAGUGGUAUGAUUCUCGCUUAGGGAUAAACCCAAGCAUAUCUGCGAGAGGUCCCGCGUUCGAUCCGCGGCUCGGGCC